rnacentral:rRNA from 1 species
GACGAACGCUGGCGGCGUGCUUAACGCAUGCGAGUCGAACGGAAAGGCCCUGCUUUUGUGGGGUGCUCGAGUGGCGAACGGGUGAGUAACACGUGAGUAACCUGCCCUUGACUUUGGGAUAACUUCAGGAAACUGGGGCUAAUACCGGAUAGGAGCUCCUGCUGCAUGGUGGGGGUUGGAAGGUUUCGGCGGUUGGGGAUGGACUCGCGGCUUAUCAGCUUGUUGGUGGGGUAGUGGCUUACCAAGGCUUUGACGGGUAGCCGGCCUGAGAGGGUGACCGGCCACAUUGGGACUGAGAUACGGCCCAGACUCCUACGGGAGGCAGCAGUGGGGAAUAUUGCACAAUGGGCGGAAGCCUGAUGCAGCAACGCCGCGUGCGGGAUGACGGCCUUCGGGUUGUAAACCGCUUUCGCCUGUGACGAAGCGUGAGUGACGGUAAUGGGUAAAGAAGCACCGGCUAACUACGUG